CGAACAAAGUGUGCUGCUGUCUUCUCUCUUCUUCAUGGCUGACUGGGAGCCACUUGAUGACGGCGCAGCUCUCCAGUUGUUUCUCCCGGGGGUGCGCUCCCCGGACAUCAGGGUUGUCUGCAGAGUCGCAGCGCCCCGGGCCUCUGAAAGAUGCAAAAUUCCCCAAGAAAAUACCAGCAAGCUGAAUUCAUCAACAUCACAAACAAGUGGGACUUAUCCCUGGAAUACAAAGAUGAACACUCUUGGGACCCCACAACCAGGUAGUAAAGAAGCUCAAACUAGCCCACAUGGAGAAGCAGGAAGGCCCGCAGUAGACAACCAGUAUCAACUGUGACACAUGAAAAUGGUGAGGACAUGGUAGAUGGCUCCAGUCCACAGCCUUCAAUUGAGUCUUCCAGCUGAACCUCCAGACACUGGCACAGAAAUAGACCAUCCCACUGUCAGCUGUCCAAAUUUCCGACCUACAGAAUCUGUGAGCGCAGUAAUGGCUGUUUUAUGCCACUAAAUUUUGGGGUAAUUUGUUACACAGCCAUAGUAACCACUCCCUUAACUUUGGGUUUAAAUAUUAAUUGCUUUGACUAAAGGAACGCUAGCAGAUGUGUCAUUUAAAAGAGAGGCUUUAGGGCCUCCCUGGUGGUGCAAGGGAGUGGCAUUAGGGCCUCCCUGGUGGUGCAAGUCUCAGUACUAUGAAGCUAUCAGCAGCCACUGCAGCACGAGUUCGAUCCCCAGCCAGGGAGUUAACCCACAUGGCACAGCAGACCUCUCCUGUCUUGCCUGCUGCUCCCCUCAGCAGUGUAUUUCAGUGGAUCCGCCUGUUCCGUUCCCCACUCUGUCUCUGGUGAAUCCUCCCACCCCCCGCACCUCCAGCCUGCACCCCAGC